CUUGCCCAGAUCACAGAAGCAGCAGGAUAUGAUCUGCACCACUGAAAAUAGGAAAGCUGCCUCUGAAGAAAAGAAAGCAUUUGCAAUGGGCUCUUGUUGCACCUGAGCUCCUGGCUGGGUUUUGCUUUGUGUGGCAGGUAUCGCCCAAAGGAAAGGAAAGACAGGGCCAGAAGAGGGUACCAGACCUCAUUACAGAUGGUUGUGAGCCAC